rnacentral:rRNA from 1 species
UGAAGAUUUUGUGACUGAGUGGCGGACGGGUGAGUAACGCGUGGGUAACCUGCCUCAUACAGGGGGAUAACAGUUGGAAACGACUGCUAAUACCGCAUGACACAUUAAAGUCGCAUGGCUUUGAUGUCAAAGAUUUAUCGCUGAAAGAUGGCCUCGCGUCUGAUUAGCUAGUUGGUGAGGUAACGGCCCACCAAGGCGACGAUCAGUAGCCGGACUGAGAGGUUGAACGGCCACAUUGGGACUGAGACACGGUCCAUACUCC